CCUACGGGGAGCAGCAGUGAGGAAUAUUGGUCAAUGGGCGGAAGCCUGAACCAGCCAAGUAGCGUGCGGGAUGAAUGCCCUACGGGUCGUAAACCGCUUUUGCACGGGGAUAACAUCCUCCACUUGUGGAGGUCUGCAGGUACCGUGCGAAUAAGGGCCGGCUAAUUCCGUGCCAGCAGCCGCGGUAAUACGGAAGGCCCGAGCGUUAUCCGGUUUCAUUGGGCUAAAAGGGAGCGUAGGAGGGCGUUAAAGUCAGAUGUAAAAUCGGGCGGCUCAACCGCUCCACGCAGUUGAAACUGGGCGCAUUGAGUUCACAGCAGGUAGGCGGAAUUCGUGGUGUAGCGGUGAAAUGCAUAGAUAUCACGAGGAACCCCGAUUGCGAAGGCAGCCUGCCAGGGUGCCACUGACGCUGAUGCUCGAAGGUGCGGGUAUCAAACAGGAUUAGAUACCCGGGUAGUC
rnacentral:rRNA from 1 species